rnacentral:tRNA from 1 species
GCCGGUAUAGCUCAGCUGGUAGAGCAACUGACUUGUAAUCAGUAGGUCCCGAGU